rnacentral:rRNA from 1 species
AGAGGUUUCGUAGUCCUCGGCGUCAGGAGUGAACGCUGGCGGCGUGCUUAACACAUGCAAGUCGAGCGAAAUAAUUGAGUAGCUUGCUUUUGUAUUAUUUUAGUCGGCGGACGGGUGAGUAACGUGUGGGUAACCUGCCUUUUACUGUGGAAUAAUCGUUGGAAACGACGACUAAUACCGCAUACGGUUCUUGGAAGGCAUCUUCUAAGAAAGAAAGGAUUUAUUCGGUAAAAGAUGGGCCCGCAUCUGAUUAGCUAGUUGGUGAGAUAAUAGCCCACCAAGGCAACGAUCAGUAGCCGACCUGAGAGGGUGACCGGCCACAUUGGGACUGAGACACGGCCCAAACUCCUGCGGGAGGCAGCAGUGGGGAAUAUUGCACAAUGGGCGAAAGCCUGAUGCAGCAACGCCGCGUGAAGGAAGACGGUUUUCGGAUUGUAAACUUCUAUCAAUAGGGAAGAAAGAAAUGACGGUACCUAAAUAAGAAGCCCCGGCUAACUACGUG